GGCUCAGGACGAACGCUGGCGGCGUGCUUAACACAUGCAAGUCGAACGAUGAAGCCCUUCGGGGUGGAUUAGUGGCGAACGGGUGAGUAACACGUGGGCAAUCUGCCCUUCACUCUGGGACAAGCCCUGGAAACGGGGUCUAAUACCGGAUAAUACUCCUGCCUGCAUGGGCGGGGGUUAAAAGCUCCGGCGGUGAAGGAUGAGCCCGCGGCCUAUCAGCUUGUUGGUGGGGUAAUGGCCCACCAAGGCGACGACGGGUAGCCGGCCUGAGAGGGCGACCGGCCACACUGGGACUGAGACACGGCCCAGACUCCUACGGGAGGCAGCAGUGGGGAAUAUUGCACAAUGGGCGAAAGCCUGAUGCAGCGACGCCGCGUGAGGGAUGACGGCCUUCGGGUUGUAAACCUCUUUCAGCAGGGAAGAAGCGAAAGUGACGGUACCUGCAGAAGAAGCGCCGGCUAACUACGUGCCAGCAGCCGCGGUAAUACGUAGGGCGCAAGCGUUGUCCGGAAUUAUUGGGCGUAAAGAGCUCGUAGGCGGCUUGUCACGUCGGAUGUGAAAGCCCGAGGCUUAACCUCGGGUCUGCAUUCGAUACGGGCUAGCUAGAGUGUGGUAGGGGAGAUCGGAAUUCCUGGUGUAGCGGUGAAAUGCGCAGAUAUCAGGAGGAACACCGGUGGCGAAGGCGGAUCUCUGGGCCAUUACUGACGCUGAGAGCGAAA
rnacentral:rRNA from 1 species